rnacentral:rRNA from 1 species
UACGGGGGCAAGCGUUGUUCGGAAUUACUGGGCGUAAAGGGCUCGUAGGCGGCCAACUAAGUCAUACGUGAAAUCCCUCGGCUUAACCGGGGAACUGCGUCUGAUACUGGAUGGCUUGAGAUUGGGAGAGGAUGCGGAAUUCCAGGUGUAGCGGUGAAAUGACGUAGAUAUCUGGAGGAACACCGGUGGCGAAGGCGGCAUCCUGGACCAACACUGACGCUGAGGAGCGAAAGCCAGGGAGCAAAC